CAAAACCACUGUUUCUCCCAAAUCUACCAAACCCUCCAGCGCCGGCACCAAUUAUCUCAAACCCUCCAACAUUAGCAGCAUAAGAAAGCAUAUGUACACUACUUCACAUGCUGCACCAGAAGGACCCGACCUCAUCUUCCUCCAUCGAGUUUAUCCUGCUGCACCAGAGAAAUUGUUGAAGGCGUUCAUGAGCCGUUCGACGACCGGUCCCAUCUUCUCCGACAAGUCAUAUUCUCACAUCCACAUGCUUCGACAACUGUAGAGUUGAAAUUUUUGUGCUGUGGUAUUCCUGCAAUGUCAAUUACUUCAAGCAACGUUUUACCUGAGCACUUAAUUCUAUGUUGCAUCGAUACAAUUUAGACUUCAAAGGACUUGUUCUACGAUUAUGAUCGAGGUGUACUGUGUUAAUUUUUCAUAUUCCACGAAUAUCUAAAUAUGCAAUCAGACUGGCUUUACAUCCACUCAGCAUGGUAGCUUGUGGUUUCAGAAAAAACAUUUGUAUUAUGGAUUUUUUUCCCUUCACGGCUAUGAACAAAAUGUAACAUAUCGCAAAA